AGUGUCCAUUUUUGUGUCAUAGUAGCUAGUCAGGUUUUUAGUUUUCGUAUGUUUCGUACGACUAUCCACCAACGCAACCGCGAAACCAAACCAAAUGCGGUGUCCAGGAAAAGAACUUUAUUAAAACUGACAAUUCAGCGCAAAGCUUUUAGCAGCAUACGAGGGACGGUGCAAGUUUAUAUCCCCUGAGGAAGGCCGAGUCCAAUGGCCGAAACGUCGGAAUUAAACAAGUAGCACUUGUCUUGAUUUUACGCUAGACUGAAAAGCCACCCGAAAACAGUUCAUUCUACAGUCGAACCUAAUUCAAAUCGUCCAUACCGCGAAAAUCGGGAGGCUACGGUGGGCGGGUCACGUCAUCAGGAUGUCGGAUAGCAACCCGACUAAAAUGGUUCUCGAGAGACAUCCGAUCGGUACAAGAAGACGUGGAGCGCAGCGAGCUAGGUGGGUCGACCAAGUGGAGGAUGAUCUGCGGACCCUACGCAGAGUGCGGAACUGGAGACAAACAGCCAUGGACCGAGUGGAAUGGAGGCGGCUACUAUGUACAGCAGAGGCCACCCCGGCCUUAGCCUGACCGGUAAGGUAA